ensembl:lncRNA HAGLR HOXD antisense growth-associated long non-coding RNA
AAAGCAGCCCAGGGCCGCCGCCCAGCGCCCCCGAGCCCCGAGGAGAGCCGUCGCGACCGGGGGCUGCCUGGGCAAGGGCGGGGCGAGAGGGCAGAACGCCUGCUCUCGGACAGGGUGUUCUUAAAAUACACCGGAAAGAACGGAGGUAAAAAUACUGGAGUGUUUCCUCCACACUGGAAAGAGAGGAGGUGGGGACGGAUAUGGUAUUUGUAGGGCAGCGCUGUGAACAAUGGAGCCAUCAAAAAGGCCUUCUCCCAGCCUCCUCACCAACCACGGACAUUCCUGGCCCAACAAGACCUCCUGGCCAGGUUUUGAGCCCUGCUUCCCAGAUCUGGGGACCCUUCACCUGCCUCUACUACUGCAAAUGAUUGGAUAUUCGUCUGACUUGGCUCUUCCCUAAUGUGUGGAACUAAUUUUGUUCACUCUGUUUCAUGCUGGACCUGGCCUGAAAAUGGGCCCUUAUAUUGUCUUUGCACUUUCCAACUUGCCAAGUUUCUGAAAGAAGGACCAAAGUAAUGCCAAGAACUCCCAGAUGAAGAGGACCUUCCUUAGACCUAUAACAGAUUCACUACUUGACUUCAGAGGGAAGUUUCAGCUAAUUCUCAGGAAAAGGUCAAAACAGGCCUGUGACUGUCCCUUGAAUACUGAAGGUAUAAACAAGCUUCUGGCUCCUCCAGGUCAAGCAGAGGAACACUUUUAUUAGAAUGAAGGGUUACUUCUUUGUUAUUCAAACACACACCCACACACAUCCUCUGUAGUCUCCCUAAUGAAAAACCUCAACAGAUGGAGAGCCUGAGCUCCCAAGUCCGCAGGCUGAGAAGAUGCACUUCACUCAAGGGCCAGUGGGCUGGUACAGACUAGGGAAGAGAAAAGGGACAAAGGCUGCUAGUAUAGGUAAUCACUAUCUUUUAAUACUCCUAACACAUAGAAAUUCGAAAAAUCUUGUUCAGCAAUGUUAGCAGCCUGUGAGCCUCGGAAACUAAUUUGGCUGAUGUGUCUCUGAUAGGGAGCUUGGGGCUGCACCAAGGGGAAACAUUCUCCUCCUGUAUUCUCUCCUCUCUCUCGUUUGAAAGCCUGUACAAAGAAAUGGUACAAAUGGAUGGUUAACUUAAUGAUUCCAUCAGAGGCAGAUUUUUCUCUGUCAGGUCCCUGGAUAAGGUGGAGGUCUGAAAGCCAGGAGACAGAAUAUGUACUUAAUCGCCCUUUCUGACCUGCUUACCAGUGACCAGGACUACUCUCCAGGCCUUUCUUCUGCCACUUCCCCAUUCUUCCUGGCUAGUUCAGUUGGGUCUCAGCACUUCAACUCCUGGCUGGAUCCUGAGUUUUUCUUGGUUGCAGGGAAAGCUCUCACUGUCUGCAUCUCCUUCCCCACCCCCACCUCCCGUUUUGCAGCUGGCCAUUCUGGCUGCCUCACAGCUAUCCUGCCUUAAUUCAUAUUUGAUUGCCUGGACAGAACCACCUAGAAUGUCCAGACGACUGCCACCCCUCAGCCAUGGGCCUGAGAUCCUGCCCUGACCCCUUUCUUCAGACCCCAGGAGGACCCACAAUCUCCCUGAUCCCCACCUUCCCCAAAGUAGUCUCUAGGAAAAAAGCAGAGCUGGCUAAGGCCUGAGACAGAGCCAUUUCUUCCCCUUGGGCAAACGAGGUAGACCCUCCCAGAGACCAAUGCCGGAGAGGCCCGGAUCCGAGCUCCCUUUAUAUGGCCUCCCCCAUCACGGAUCCCGUGGGAAAACCUGACACACAAUGGCGCGGCUGCUCCGGGCACCCUCAACCCAGCGCCCUGCGGCAAGGCCUGGAGCAGCCUGGUGGUCUUGGUGCGCUCCCUUUGCCCUCCCCGCAACCCUCUGCGAGCACUCGUCCCAGGAGAGAGACCCUGGCUAGGGUGGAGGUUGCCUCCCGCAAAGGGCGCUGUUGCUGGGGCCUCCCCUCCCCCAUUCUCUUGUUUUUCUGCUUCUGAGACUCGGGAGGGAGGCGGCAGGCGCCUCCGCAGCCGAUAGAGCAGCUAUUGUGACCUUCCCUUGCAGAGCGGGAACCCAGCCGAGUGUGUACCGCCGGCGGUGGCGGGGGAGGAGGCGACUGUGUGUGCAAACCUCAGUCGGAGAGGGGGUGGCGCUGGGAAAUAAAGGUUUGCAACCUCAGGCAGUUGGGCCCUUCAGAGGGCGUUUGGUUGUGUUUAGACUCGGUUGCUUUCUAACACUAAUUGCAGGCUCAAAAGGAGCGGAAUUUAUUGCGAAGGCCAAGGCGGCUUGUUUAUAAUUUAUGAAGUUUUAAAUGGCUGUGCCGCGGGCCCCAACUUUCUCCUGGGCUGGCAGCCGCGCGGAAACGCGCCCUCCCCCGGCUCGCCGCCCACCCCCACCCACGCCCCUCAGAUGAGUCUCACGCCAAUGGCAGGAACAGAUCCGAGCUAUUAGAAGUCUCGGGAACCUCCAGAGAUGACAGAAGGUGGCAGAUUUGGUCCAAGCCCUCACCCCACUCGAGAGGAGGGCGUCGGGGAAAGCUGUGGCUGCCUGGAGAGGGAGCCCCUGAUCCCACACUUCCUUGGAGCCUGAGUGUGAGAGGAAGCUAAUGUCAGCCGGGCUAGACACCGUUUAAAGUCUAAUCCAUGAAACCCUAAGCCGCAAAUGACACUUGGGGCUUUGCAGACACCCGCAGACUCAGCAGAUACUCCUGCGGUAACACACUGUGCUGGAAAACGCCUGGAGCCAUGACACAUUACGUAUUUUUAUUAUUAUUUAUGGUAGGAAGAGGAGAUGAGGGAAAAUCGGGCUGAAUCUAAGCAGCCUGACAAUUCAGCUAGUUAAUAUUUAGCCAGUUAAGAAAGGUGGUUGUAAUCCCUGCAAGGCAGUGAGCUCUCCUUUGAUUUCUCUAAUAGCUUAAAAAAUAAUUUCUUACAAGACAAUUAGAAAUUCUGCCUAUGGAUGCAAAUUUCAUAGAAAACAAUGUUAAGCCUUGAAAGUGGGUAAAAUGUGCCUUCGAUUGAAGUCAUUUAUUCUGUUGAUACACUUCUACAACAUAUAUAUUUUAAACCUGCUCAGAUAAAGUGAAAUUUAGCAAAAGGAUAUCCCCUCCCACCCCCAAAUCUAACAUGCCAUUUUAAAAACAGCACAAAGGAACAAGGAAACUAAAUAUUAUUUUGAGCCAUCAUUACUUAGUGAAAUACAAACAUCCAAAUAGAAACGAUUGUUGUUCCACCAGAAGAUUAGAAGUUAAAUUAUUUCCACACAAUAGGAAUUUCACUUCGUGUCAUCGGGGAUGUAGUAGGAGUUGCAUUAUUUGUCAAACCAAAUAGAGAUGCGUGGGCUGACUUUGCUGAAAUACAAAAGAAUUGAACCUUAUCUGAAGGCGUUUUCUAAGUGGCCCCUCCCAUAGAAGCCGGGAAGUUGUCCACCCCUAGCAGAAGCCACAUUAAUAUUUACAAAAUGGUUAUAAAUCCUUGAAGACAUUUUUGCCCAUUUUGUAUAAGAAACAGGAGUAAACAAGGUGUUUAUACUUGUUAUGUUUCAUUAAUGAAAUAUUAUUACUUUACAUCUUGGGGAAUGUUUGUUUUCUUUAGAAAUGAACUAAUGAUCACUACAAAGGAAGAAUUCAUGACAGCAUUUCCUAGAGAAAAAGCUUAGGUACGCGUCUCCAAAUGAUGGUUUCUUUUUCUACACCUUAGCUUUUUCAUAGCUCAAUUCUUCUUACAACUUCUCUUGUGUUUUUUCUUUGAUUGUCAGUUUUCUUUCAAAGUUUAUUUUUUGUUACUUAAUGCAGAAAAGUGAGCUCUGGUCUCCCCAGUGUAAAAGUCGAUUGUGUCUAGAAAGAAGGCAGUAAAAACAGCAAAGCAGGCGCUGCUUUCAAAAAGCCCUGCCCAAAUCAUCCCGCCCAGAACCUUCUUAGGUUUGCAUCCUCAUUUCCCCCUCCCCUAAUUUCAAUAGCUGGAAAGUAAUCAAGUAUCCCGAGAACCAAUUUAUGCACUAGACUCCAAAUAAAUAAAAUAUUUUUUUCAAAGUGUCAGUCUGUUUCGGGGCCUUCCAUGGGGAUUGUGCGAGAUAAAGGCAUAGUGAUCUGCUUGCAAGUGUGCAUGAUUAACACAGAUACAGUUCCGACUGGGAAAUUUUUUUAUUCUAAAUAUUUGUUCCAAUAGUACCAGACAAUUUGAAAUCAAUAAACUGUGGUGAGGACUGUGGUUUUUGAGAAAUGA